UACGGAGGGGAGCUAGCGUUGUUUCGGAAUUACUGGGGCGUAAAGCGCACGUAGGCGGAUUGUUAAGUCAGGGGUGAAAUCCCGAGGCUCAACCUCGGAACUGCCUUUGAUACUGGCAAUCUCGAGUCCGGAAGAGGUGAGUGGAAUUCCUAGUGUAGAGGUGAAAUUCGUAGAUAUUAGGAAGAACACCAGUGGCGAAGGCGGACUCACUGGUCCGGUACUGACGCUGAGGUGCGAAGCGAUGGGGAGCAAACGG
rnacentral:rRNA from 1 species